rnacentral:rRNA from 1 species
UACCUGCAGCUCAAGUGGUGGCCGCUAUUAUUGGGCCUAAAACGUCCGUAGCCGGUUUCAUAAAUGCCUGGGUAAAUCGUACGGCUUAACCGUAUGAAUUCCGGGUAGACUGUUUAACUUGAGACCGGGAGAGGCUAGAGGUACUCCUGGGGUAGAGGUGAAAUUCUGUAAUCCUAGGGGGACCACCAGUGGCGAAGGCGUCUAGCUAGAACGGGUCUGACGGUGAGGGACGAAGCCCUGGGGAGCAAACGGGAUUAGAUACCCGCGUA